UUCAUUCAGCUGGAGACGACACACACACACAUGCGGGCCGGUGGUGGCGGGUCCUUGACGAGAGGAAACCAUGAACUCUGGGAGGAGCAGGUUCCCACACCCAGAAGAAGGGACGCACAACGCUCUAACACAAACAGUCCGCCACUCAGGAAGGAAAGGGCUCUCUUUGGGCCUUUAUCAGAUCUGCGAGAUCCUCGGCCCCGUCCGUCACCCGCUGCUGUCCGAGAGGCGGAUGAGGAAUGGCAACAAACUGAUUGAUCCUCAGCUAGCAGCAGCGCAGCAGGAGCUUCCCUCAGCUGUCUCCCGGUUGUGUAACCAGCACCUCCUUGCUGACCUCAUGGAACAUCUCUGAGGACACAACAGAGACGAAAGGAUCACGUUCACUGCAUCACCUCCCUCCCCUCAGUGCCCUCUGGCCUUCAGCCCGAUUCAGACCGAACUAAAUAUUCCCCUUUGGCCCAGAAAAGGAGGGAAAAAAACUGUUUUGUUGUGUAACUCUUGUAAUCUUAGCUUUUCCUUCACUUAACGGUUCCAUGACAGAGGUCACUUUAGUUCACAUGUUUAGUAGCCUGCAGGUAAAAUUCAGCUAAAAGGUUUACUUAACUGGAUCUCCUCUCCAGUAGUUUCAAAUAUCUGGAAACUGAUUGAAGUUAAACUCUGGAAGUUCACAGGCAAACUUUUAGAAACUCAUACCCAGAAUCUGGUGGAAAAUAUUAGAUUAUUUGGUAUGGAAACUUACAUAUAGGUAUGUACAGUUCAUACUGCACAACGUUCAGUCUUGUAAUCAGGAGUCUUGAAGUUGUUAAAGUUGCAUACUACCGUUAGAAACUGAGUACAAUAAGCUGAUAAUUAGUCUGAUAAACCAGCAUCAUUAGAACCAUUAAUCAAACAGUUAACUUAACUUUUUUAGCAUAUUUGUACAUUUAUUUAUAGGUCAUAGGCUAGCUAUAGAAAAAAGGGAAUCAGCCCUAUUAUUCAGUAUUUCUGUCACAGCAGUUAUUUAUCAGACUUUUUAAUCAACAUUUACUGUCAUCCAGGGAAAAUUAUAGGACUUAAAAAUUAACAAUCACAGCUGUUUCCCUGUAAGGUCACAUCAAAUGGCCACCGUAGGGGGAACAUGGCUUGCUCCUCAUUUGUUCAUAGGAUGGUUUAUGGUUGGAGAGCAGAGGGGAGGUCACGAUGUGCCUGAUCACUGCAGGAGACUCGGCUUCACGCUGUGAAAAUGAACAAACAACCUGUUGGAGCUUCACGGCCGAGAUACGGAGGUCCCAGCGAGGCUGCCGGACUCCCUGGCACCAGCGUCUGGCGCUGGGGAAGAUCUAUCUAGAGAUAUGAGCAGGAGAAACUCCACCCAAGAGGCCUGGUAUACACACAGACAAACCUAUUACAUCCUCUGAGCUAAUCAUUCCCCGAGACCACGACAACACAAACAUCCCCAGGACAGAAACACCAGUCUUCCUCUGACUCGCUGCUGUUUUUAGAGCUCUAAAUCUCUGGUAAAGUGACAAUCCCGAUACACACACACCUUUUUUUCAAGGCUUUUGUCUUUAAGAGAGCUGCUCUGUCUUCGAGGUCUCAUCCUGCUUAUACAACAAAUACAUGAAUAUCUUUAAACUUUCUUAAACUUUUCUUUCUAUCACAUCUAAGCUUUA